AGAGGAACUAGUAGCUUCAAGUGAACAUUGAAAGUAGAACUAAAACUAAAGACAUGGAAGACUUGGUUAUGAUAAAGCAUGUCAUCAAAUAUAGCAACACACGGAGUCAAUUUAGAUAAACUUAUAAGGAUAUUUUUCUUCAGCAAAUAAACACAGACCUAGGGCCUGGAUUGGCUUAUUUGAAUUUAUCUACUGUCAUAAGUUUUGUGAAAUUGUUUGGCAAAAUUUAUAAAGACAGCUUAUGACAUUUGUCAUAAGUUUUUUUCAGCUUAUUUUUAUAUGUUCUCCAAGAUAGCUUAUGCAAAGAGCUUAUAGCAUAUACAAAAAGAAAAAAUUAAAUUUUAUCAGAUGCUGGGAUUGACUUAUUUUUUAGUUUAUGAAAAAUAACUUAUGCAUAAGCUUUUAUGUAUUAUUAUAAGGUUGUUAAGGUAGUUUAUGAAAAAACAACUUACGAAAGAUACAAUUUUUGUUUUUUUUUUUUUUAAGAAGCUAAAUUAGCCCACCCAAAUUUUUUUUGAAGAUACAUUUUUUGUUGGUGAGAACUUGAAUUUGUAUUCUGAAGGUUAGGGAUUCAGCUAAAACUAAACACAAACUUAGGACCUGUUUGGAUUGACUUAUUUGAGUUUAUCUACUGCCAUAAGUUUCGUGAGUUUGUUAGGAAAAAUUUAUAAAAACAGCUUAUGACAUUUUUCAUAAGCUUUUUUCAGCUUAUUUUUAUAAGUUCUCCAAGACAGCUUAUUGAAACAGCUUAUAGCAUAUACUACAAAAACAACUUAAUUUUAU
rnacentral:lncRNA from 1 species